rnacentral:rRNA from 1 species
GACGAACGCUGGCGGCGUGCCUAAUACAUGCAAGUAGGACGCAGUUGCGAACGGGUGAGUAACGCGUAGGUAACUACCUAUUAGAGGGGGAUAACGAUUGGAAACGAUAGCUAAUACCGCAUACUAGUAGAUGGACCUGCGUUGUAUUAGCGAGUAGGUAGGGAAAUGGCCUACCUAGGCAAGGAUACAUAGCCGCACUGGUAGGGUGGUCGGCCACACUGUGACUGGGACACGGCCCAGACUCCUACGGGAGGCAGCAGUAGGGAAUCUUCGGCAAUGGGGUGAACCCUGACCGUGCAACGCCGCGUGAGUGAAGAAGGUUUUCGGAUCGUAAAGCUCUGUUGUUAAGGAAGCGGUACUUAACCAGAAAGGGACGGCUAACUACGUGCCAGCAGCCGCGGUAAUUC